rnacentral:rRNA from 1 species
GCGCACGCUGGCGGCAGGCCUCACACAUGCCAGUCGCACGAACUCUUCGGAGUUAGUGGCGGACGGGUGAGUAACACGUGGGAACGUGCCUUUUGGUUCGGAAUAACUCAGGGAAACUUGUGCUAAUACCGAAUGUGCCCUUCGGGGGAAAGAUUUAUCGCCAUUAGAGCGGCCCGCGUCUGAUUAGCUAGUUGGUGAGGUAACGGCUCACCAAGGCGACGAUCAGUAGCUGGUCUGAGAGGAUGACCAGCCACACUGGGACUGAGACACGGCCCAGACUCCUACGGGAGGCAGCAGUGGGGAAUCUUGCGCAAUGGGCGAAAGCCUGACGCAGCCAUGCCGCGUGAAUGAUGAAGGUCUUAGGAUUGUAAAAUUCUUUCACCGGGGACGAUAAUGACGGUACCCGGAGAAGAAGCCCCGGCUAACUUCGUG